GGGGGGGGGGGGGGGGGGGGGGGGGGGGUGGGGGGGGGGGGGAGAGGGGGGGGGCGGGGUGGGCUGGGGUUGGCGGCGGGGGGGGGAGGAAGACGGGGAUGAGCUAGCUGUAAGGCUGGGGUGACUUCGGGAAACGGGCGCUAGUACCGGAUAAUAUAUUGAACCGCAUGGGUCAAUAGUUGCAGACGGUUUUGCUGUCACUUAUAGAUUGAUCCGCGCCGCAUUAGCUAGUUGGUAAGGUACCGGCUUACCAAGGCAACGAUGCGUAGCCGACCUGAGAGGGUGAUCGGCCACACUGGAACGGAGACACGGUCCAGACUCCUACGGGAGGCAGCAGUAGGGAAUCUUCCGCAAUGGGCGAAAGCCUGACGGAGCAACGCCGCGUGAGUGAUGAAGGUCUUCGGAUCGUAAAACUCUGUUAUUAGGGAAGAACAAAUGUGUAAGUAACUAUGCACGUCUUGACGGUACCUAAUCAGAAAGCCACGGCUAACUACGUG
rnacentral:rRNA from 1 species